rnacentral:rRNA from 1 species
GACGAACGCUGGCGGCGUGCUUAACACAUGCAAGUCGAACGGAAAGGCCCUGCUUUUGUGGGGUGCUCGAGUGGCGAACGGGUGAGUAACACGUGAGUAACCUGCCCUUGACUUUGGGAUAACUUCAGGAAACUGGGGCUAAUACCGGAUAGGAGCUCCUGCUGCAUGGGGGGGGUUGGAAAGUUUCGGCGGUUGGGGAUGGACUGGCGGCUUAUCGGCUUGUUGGUGGGGUAGUGGCUUACCAAGGCUUUGACGGGUAGCCGGCCUGAGAGGGUGACCGGCCACAUUGGGACUGAGAUACGGCCCAGACUCCUACGGGAGGCAGCAGUGGGGAAUAUUGCACAAUGGGCGGAAGCCUGAUGCAGCAACGCCGCGUGCGGGAUGACGGCCUUCGGGUUGUAAACCGCUUUCGCCUGUGACGAAGCGUGAGUGACGGUAAUGGGUAAAGAAGCACCGGCUAACUACGUG